rnacentral:rRNA from 1 species
UACGAGGGGGGCAAGCGUUGUUCGGAAUUAUUGGGCGUAAAGGGCGCGUAGGCGGUUUGACAAGUCUGAUGUGAAAUCUAUGGGCUCAACCCAUAGCCUGCAUUAGAAACUGUCGGGCUUGAGUAUGGGAGAGGUGAGUGGAAUUUCCGGUGUAGCGGUGAAAUGCGUAGAUAUCAGGAGGAACACCUGUGGCGAAAGCGGCGCACUGGACCACAACUGACGCUGAGGCGCGAAAGCUAGGGGAGCAAACAGG